CUUGUACUCCCUCCGUUCGGAAUUACUUGUCUCGAAAAUAGAUGUAUCUAGAACUAAAAUAUGUCUAGAUACAUCAUUUCUGCGACAAGUAAUUCCAAACAGAGGGAGUAUAUU
rnacentral:pre_miRNA from 1 species